rnacentral:rRNA from 1 species
GUAGGUGGCAAGCGUUGUCCGGAAUUAUUGGGCGUAAAGUGCGCGCAGGCGGUUCUUUAAGUCUGAUGUGAAAGCCCACGGGCUCAACCGUGGAGGGUCAUUGGAAACUGGAGAACUUGAGUACAGAAGAGGAAAGCGGAAUUCCACGUGUAGCGGUGAAAUGCGUAGAGAUGUGGAGGAACACCAGUGGCGAAGGCGGCUUUCUGGUCUGUAACUGACGCUGAGGCGCGAAAGCGUGGGGAGCAAACAGGAUUAGAUACCCUGGUAGUCCACGCCGUAAACGAUGAGUGCUAAGUGUUAGGGGGUUUCCGCCCCUUAGUGCUGCAGCUAACGCAUUAAGCACUCCGCCUGGGGAGUACGGCCGCAAGGCUG